rnacentral:rRNA from 1 species
UACGUAGGGAGCAAGCGUUGUCCGGAAUCAUUGGGCGUAAAGCGCGCGUAGGUGGCCACAUAAGUCCGUUGUGAAAGUCAAAGGCUACAACCUUUGAAGCCGAUGGAUACUGUGUGGCUAGAGUACGGGAAGAGGCGAGUGGAAUUCCUGGUGUAGCGGUGGAAUGCGCAGAUAUCAGGAGGAACACCAAUAGCGAAGGCAGCUCGCUGGGACGGUACUGACGCUGGAGGCGCGAAAGCCGUGGGGAGCGAACAGG